AACAAUUCUAGGUGUAACACAUGGGAAGUCACAGUGCAACCUUAAGCACAUUAUUAGCACAAAAGUUGGCAUGCCCAUCCAAAAGAAGUUAUUAUCAAAUGCCUAAUAAUAAAGGACAAUUCCUCUCAAACAGGACCACGUAACCCUAGUUUUCCGUGUCCCCCUAUUGGCAGGGUGCCUGCCCAACAAAAUUCAAUAAUAAAAGUAACAGGAGAAUUAGCACGCCCUGUUUGUCUAACAAAAUUCAAUAAUAAAAGUAAUAAACAUAGAGUACUUUUGUCUAUAUCGACAAGUGAUAGGAGAAUUGUGAAUUAGUUGAAACUACAUCAUUUUAAAUAAGAAAAAUGUUAAAAAUAAUUUCUAUUUUAUAACGCACUAUGUGUAGAACAAUAGAAGAUUAUGAUUCCGAUAUUUCUUAUUUAACAAGAUUUUGUAUUUUUUGUUUAGUCUUAGUCCAAAUUUGUUGUCUAACAAAAAGGGUACAACGGAUCGGUAUUCAAACUAUUCUUAUUUUCUUAGCUUCAGUAAUCUAGUGGUACGCAUUUGAUGUUCAACAUACAUGCCUCGUUUGGUACAUAACUAGUGAUGAAGUUAGGAACUAGAUUUAAUGAGAUCAGGAAUUAACUUCAAAAUUUUUAUUUUCCCAACAAAUCAAGUGGAAUUUCUUAAAAUAAGUCUUGGAUAAAAAGAGAGAGAACUUAAAAACUAGAGUGAAGUCACCAUUCUUGGGAUGGGAUGGAAAACACGUAAGACACCAAUUAUUGCUAGUGAGAGAGAAAAAGUGCGAGUGCGAACAAAUUAGAGAGUGAAGAAAGAAGUGAGAGACGACAAGCGGAGUUAUUUUAUUUCCGAUAAAGUAUAUUAAGUGAAAGUCACAUUUCACCAUUAUUUUCUAUGCACGAAAUUGCAUUUCGAUGUUAUUGAGAAAUAGCAACAUUAGAUAAUAUGAAGAAUUACCUCUUGGUAAAGUUUGUAUGUAAUAUUUUAUUCUUGGACCUGUGCUAGUUAAAUUAUAUUUAAUUUCUAGUUCCUAUGUAUACUUUCUUUAAUUAAUGACACACAAACUAAUUCCAAAAUGAAAAUUGAAUGGAUUUCUCUAUAUCUUGGAAGUAGGUAGGAAGGUUAAAAAAAGUGAAGAAAUAAAUAAAUACAUUUUCAUAUUCAUUCUCGAACGAAAGUUGCAAAGUGAUAUAAAGGGAUCGGUAAAAAAGGACUUAGUUUAUGUGAAUGAUAUCUUUCAAAGCGCGAACCACAUUUUUAUUCUUCAGUGUUUUUAUCUUUUUGUUCCAUAAAUUUUAUACAUUUUGAUCAAUAAAAAUAUUUGAUAAGUGUAACAAUUCUAUGUGUAACACAUGGGAAGUGAAGUGCAACCUUAGUGCAAUAUUAGCACAAAAGUUGGCAUGCCUAUCCAAAAGGAAUUAUGAUCAAAUGCCUAAUAAUAAGGUAAUAAACAUUAGUACUUUUGUCUAUGUUGAAAGUGACAAGUGAAAUGAGAAUUAGAUGGGACUACAUCAUUUUAAAUAAAUAAAAAAUGUUAAAUAUAAUGUCUAUUUUAUAACAAAUAUGCAUUAUAUGUAGAAGAUUAUGAUUCCGAUCUUUCUUAUUUAACUAAGAUUUUGUAAUUUUUUGUAUAGAGUCUGAGUCCAUAUCUAUUGUCUAGCAACAAUGGGACAAUGAAUUUAGACUCAAUCUAUUCUUAUUUUCUUAGCUUUGAUAAUCUAGCAGUACGCAUUUCAUAUUCAAUACGCAUGCUUUGUUUGGUAUAUAACUAGUGAUGAAGGAACUAGAUCUAACGCGAUUAGGAAUGAACUUCAGAAUUUUUAUUUUUCAAACAAAUCAAGUGAAAUUUCUUAAAAUCAAUCUUGGGUGAAGGGAGAGAAAGAGAACUUACAAAACGAGAUGUGAAGUCAUCGUACUUGGAAUGGGACACACAUUAUCGGACACCAGUUCUUGCCUCAAGUAGCAAGAGAGAAAAAAUGUGACGGAGAAAUAAUUAGAGAGCGAAGAAAGCAAUGAGAGAGGAGAAGGGGAGUUACUUUUUAUCUUAUAAGAUAUAUUUUUUAGUGAAAGUCGCAUUUCGUUAUUAUUUUAUAUGCUCGAACUUGCAUUUCAUUGAUAUUAUUGAGGUAUAGCAACAUGAGAUAAUAUGAAGAUUCCCCGGUUGGGAAAGUUAGUAUGUAAUAUUGUAACGGAUAAUUAGAAAAUUAUCUUGGCCAAGAUAAUUGUCUAAUUUCCUGAUUUCUCUUUUGGUUCCAAUUAAGAUUAGCCUUAUAAUUUGUUUUUUCAUAUUGCUCUUUUAUUACAAUAAUGUUUGCUCUUGUAAUUUGCCUUUCCCAUAAAAGGGUAUCUUGUAAUGGCUAUUUAUUAGCAAGAGAAAAGUGAAUAAAAGAAUAAAAUGAAUUUGUCUUCAACCUUGUGUUGAUUUAGGAGUUUUAUUGGUUUACUCGAAUUAACCAAUACAAGGAGGCCUCGGACCCCUCGAAGUGUCCAACCAUAUCACCAUUAUAGGUCGUCAACGCAAGAACAAUCCUUGGUCCUUAUCCGUCAAUCGACCUAUUACUCGAUCCAUAUCCGAAGCACGUAACAACUUGGUAUCAGAGCCAGCCAUGUCCGACCCCCGUGUUGAUAAAUUGGAGGGCGAAAUAGGCUCGUUGCAACAAUCGAUGAAAUCACUCCAGAAAACGGUGGAAUCCAUGUUCGCCAUGUUCUCCCAUCAACGGGAGGAAGGGUCGGACAAAGGACGCGAGAAUGGAGAUGGUUCCUCUUACAUCAACUUUCGAGGAUCUGCGGGUGGAGGAUUCACUGCACCAAAAAUAACAAAGUUAGAUUUUCCACGCUAUAAUGAAAUGAAUGAUCCGAUCGGGUGGAUUUAUCAUGUGGAGCAAUUUUACGAUUUUCACCAAACUGAGGAAGCGGAUAAAUUGCCAUUGGCGGGGUAUCAUUUGGAUGGGGAUGUCCAACUACGGUACCAAAGUUUUAAGGCGAGGCGUGAACUGGGGAGUCUUCAAAUAUGAACUCCAUCUUCGUUAUGGACCAUCGCGGUACCAUAAUUUUUUUGGAGAUCUCACGAAGCUUAAGCAAACAGGGAGUGUUCGUGAUUACCAAAUGGAGUUUGACCGAUUAUUACACCGAGCAGGAUCUCUUUCCGAAGGACAACAAGUGGGGGAUGCUUUAUUAGCGGCUUGAAGGAAAGUUUGCGUGUUGAUGUCCAAGCAUGCAAUCCAGUAUCCUUAUAUGCCGCCAUUGGGCUUGCAUGCCUAUAUGAGUCAAGGCUUAUCGACCAACGUAGAAGUGGGCUCUCAGAGUUUAGGAAGGUCCCCAUGACUCCCGGGCCUUCUCCUAUACCUUCGACAUCACUCACACUGGCACGCAACCCCGUCAUAAAAAGACUAAGUCCAACGGAAUUACAAGAUCGGAGAUCUCGUGGGCUUUGUUUCAAUUGUGACGAGAAAUUCUUGCCGAGGCAUCGAUGUAAGAAAUUAUUUUUCAUCGAAAGCAUAUUCCCUUCUUCGGAGGAAUCCGAGGAUGAAGUAAUUGCGAAAGAAGAGCUUGAAACCAAUAUACCUGAAAUUAGCUUCCAUGCUAUUUCGGGAACGUCAAAUCCAAGAACCAUACGUUUACUUGGCAAGAUUGGGGGUAUCCCAAUUACUAUUUUGAUAGACUCUGGUAGCACCCAUAAUUUUCUUAAUUCUAAGGUGGCUUCCAAGGUGGGAAUCAGGGCUACAAAACCAGGGGCAUUUUCAGUACAAGUGGCGAAUGGCAACAAAAUGAAGAGUGAAGGGUUAUGCGAAUCCACGUGUUUCACUGUCUAAAAAAUUGAUUUCCAAGUUGAUGUUUUCCUUCUACCAGUGGAAGGUUGUGACGCAAUUUUUGGCAUCCAAUGGCUUGACACACUAGGCCAUGUUACUUUUGACUUUAGGGAAUUAUGAAUGAGGUUUCUUAGGGAGGGCAAAUCGGUGGAGUUACGUGGGCAUAGAGGGCCUUCAAACAAACAAACAAAAAAAAAGCAUUGGGUGUCAUGACAUUGUUGCAACUUCCUUGCCACCUAUCCCACAAGAAUCUGCCCCACACCCACUUCCUCAGGCAGUUUUGGAAACCCGGCACGUUAAAAGGAAAUAUGAAUUGUUGAUCCAUUGGCAGAAUCUUUCUCUAGCUGAUGCCACUUGGGAGGACUUUGAUGAUUUCAAUAACCGAUUUCCUUAUUUCCUUGAGAACAAGGAAAUUUCCAAGGGGGGAGGAGUUGUAACGGAUAAUAAGACAAUUAUCUUGGCCAAGAUAAUUGUCUAAUUUCCUGAUUUCUCUUUUAAUUCCAAUUAAGAUUAGCCUUAUAAUUUGUUUUUCCAUAUUGCUCUUUUAUUACAAUAAUAUUUGCUCUUGUAAUUUGCUUUUCCCAUAAAGGGGUAUCUUGUAAUGGCUAUUUAUUAGUAAGAGAAAAGUGAAUAAAAGAAUAAAAUGAAUUUGUCUUCAACCUUGUUAGUGAUGGCAACGGGGUGGGUUCGGGGUGGGUCGGGGUUUAUUUUUACAUUUUGAAAGUUUCGAAUUAUAUUAUUAUUAGAGAAUAAAAUACAAAUUUAAAAUGAGUUUUUAACGGAUGAAUUAUCUAGAAAUAAAAUUAUUAUUAUUUUUUUUUUUAGUUUUUCUUCACGGGGUGGGGCAUCCUCGCCUCCACCCCGCGCCCCGCGACGGGGUGGGUUUUUUUGCCCCAUUCGGGGCAGGGCGGGGCAAAUUGCCAUCACUAAACCUCGUGUUGAUUUAGGAGUUUUAUUGGUUUACUCGAAUUAACCAAUACAAGGAGGCCUCGGACCCCUUGAAGUGUCCAACCAUAUCACCAUUAUAGGUUGUCAAUGUAAGAACGAUCCUUGGUCCUUAUCCGUCAAUCGACCUAUUACUCGAUCCAUAUCCGAAGCACGUAACAAAUAUUUUAUUCUUGGAUCUGUGCUUGUUAAUAAAAUAUUUUGACACAUUUUAUUUUGUUAAUUUCUAGUUUCUAUGUUUUCAACAUUCUUUAAUUGAUAACACACAUAUUAAUUCCAAAAUGAAAUUGGAUUGGAUUUCGAAUGAGUUGUUGAUUAAACGUUAAUAUAGAAUCUGUUUGGGUUUUGUUUUAAAAACAAGAAAUGAAUAGUUGAUAAGCAUAACAAUUCCAAGUGUGACAAAUGGACAGUGAUGGUGCAACCUUAAUGCAAUCUUAGCGCAAAAGUUGGCAUGCCUAUUCAAAAGGAGUUAUUAUCAAAUGCCUAAUAAUAAACAUUGAUACUAUUUUUUAGACUGACCUAACAACUGAUUGGAGAACUAUGAAAUAUAUAGGAAUAUAAAUAUGAAAUGUUCAAAAAUAAUGUUUGUUAUAUAUAAAAAACGUGAAUUGAGUAGAAAAAAUUGAUUUCGAUCUUCCUUCUUUUAACUAAGAUUUUGUGUUUUAUAGAGUCUGAAUCCAAAUUACUUUUUCAUUUUUGCUGUUAGUUUAAUUGUCUCCUCAAUCAAAUUUUGACAUCGAAUUAUUUGAGGGUGUCAAGAUUUAAUUGGGGAAAACAAUAAAAAUUUUCAAAAAGGAGGAGUAACUCAGGGAAGAUUUUGUACAAAUUAAGUAAUUUUAGUGCAAAUUAAUUUCAUUUGAUUAGUUCAUAAGAGUAUAUCCAAGAAACUCUCUAUUUUUAAAGAGUACAUUUUAUCAUUUAGAGAGUUAAAAUCUUAAAGUACUCUAACAAACUCUUUAUAUUUAAGUUUAACACUUAAUUUUAUUACUCCAAAAAAAUGUUUAUUAUUUUUCUAUAUCUUUUAUAUUAACUAGGUUUUCUCUCAACUAUUUUAUUCUUUUCUUACAUUGAAAAUUGAAACAUUUUAAAUGCAUUUAAUAUAAGGAGUGAGUUUGGCUCUCUAAAUUUUGAGAGUCAAACCAACUUUCUAAAUUAAAAUGUUAAUUUAAAGAGUAUCUUGGAGCGUAAUUUUAGGGGUUAUUUUUAAAAUAGAGAGCAUAUUAUAUUCAAAGAGUUUAUUGAAGAUGCUCUAAAUUUGUAAAGUUAUGUAAUUAAUGACGAAUUAAUUAAUUACCCAAAAAAAGUGAGUAAAAUUUCUUUUUGCCCUUGAAGUAGGAAGGAAGAUUAAAAGGGUGCAAAGAAAUUGAUGAAUAAAAUUCACAUUCAUUCUAAAAUGACUUCUUUAUAAAAGAGAGAAUUCAUUCAUUCUUAAUUAACAAAAGAAAUUAUUUAUCGCAAUUCACAUUUUUACUUAUAAGUAAAAUUCUCAAGCUUAGCCAAACGUUCACUAAAUAUUGUGGAAAUUACAUCACAGAUCACACCCUAUUUUUAUCGAUUAUUAUUCAUAAAAGAGGGAGGAGGUUAGUUACGUUAUUCACAAAUCAGAUAUUUUAUAUUUAAAUAUUAAAUGUUAAAUAUAUAAUUUUCAUCCCAAACCUCCCUCUCCUUUCUUUCUAUAUCUCUUCAUACCUACCUCUUUUUUCAUCCCAAAUCCUAAAACCAUUUUCACUAUUUUCUCCCUCCCUUUAUCUUCUCAAUCUAUUCUCUCUUUACUCUUACCUCUCCUAUCGUCCCCACAAUGGUCGCCUGCAAAAACACUGGAGAAGAGAUGGAAGGUCGUCGAAACGAAAAAGGAGUGGUGAUGCGGUGCCGCAUGUAGCUGUCGACGAGAUUUCUUUCUAUGUGCUGCAGAUUUGAUUGGUCAUCAACACAAACUCCGACCAUCGUCACCCUAGUUUUUUUUUUUACUAAAUGAUCUAAUCUAUGAAAUUUACAUAGGAAGACUACGGUUUGAGAAUUGUCGGGGUGGGCGGUGAAUGUUUUGUGGUUUAAGUAGAGUAUUGACGGAGGAUAAUGAAAUUGCAAGAGAUUUUGGGGCUUUUUCGCUGGUGGCUGUAGGUGAUGUAGCAAGAGAAUCCUGUGUGGUGUUUUUUAUAGCGGUGUGGUGGUGUUGGGUGCUUUUUGUUUUUGGGAUUUUUGAGCAGUGGCGGUGGCAGUGGCACUGGUAGUAGAUCUAGCAAUAGCAGUGAUUUUUGUUAUAUUGCCAAGAAAACAAUUUCUAGGCAAUUCAAUUCCUUGAAAUUCAUUUUCUUUCCAUCCAAAUUUCAUCUUUGCAAUCAAACGAACCCUUAGUGAAAAUUCCAUCUCAUCAUUAUUUUCUAUGCUCGAACUCGCAUUUCAUCGAUGUUAUUGAGGUGUAGCAACAUCAGAUAAUAUGAAGAAUUACCACUUGGUAAAGUUAGUAUGUAGAAUUAUUCUUAGAUCUGUGCUCGUCAAUAAAAUAUUUUGAAGCAAAGAUUAGAUAGUUUCAGUGCAAACUAAUGUUAUUUUCUUAAUUUCUUUGUAACAUUCCUUAAUUAAUGACGCACAAGUUAAUUCCAAAAUGAAAAUAGGGUUGGAUUUCUCUAUAUCUUGGAAGUAGGAAGGAGGGUUACAAAAGCGAAAAGAAAUAGAUGCAUAUAUUUUCAUAUUCAUUCUUGUAUGACUCAUUGAUUAUACGUUAAUACAACUAUCGUUUGGCUUUCACUUUAUUUUGUUAAAAUUUACUUUUCAAGAAAUGAAUGAUUGAUAAGUUUUUCAUUUUAUUUUGUUAAAUUUAUUUUUCAAGAAAUGAAUGAUUGAAUGAUAAGAGUAACAAUUCUAUGUGUAACACAUGGGAAGUCACAUUGCAGCCUUAGUGCAUUAUUAGCACAAAAGUUGGCAUGCCUAUCCAAAAGAAGUUAUUAUCAAAUGCCUAAUAAUAAAGAACAAUUCCUCUCAAACAGGGCCACAAAGCCCUGUUUUUCCGUGUCCCCUUAUUGGUAGGGUGCCUGCCUGACAAAAUUCAAUAAUAAAAGUAAUAGGAGAAUUGGUAGGCCCUGUUUUUCUAGCAAAAUUCAAUAAUAAAAGUAAUAAACAUAUAGUACUUUUGUCUAUGUUGACAAGCGAUAGGAGAAUUGUGAAUUAGAUGAAACUACAUCAUUUUAAAUAAGAAAAAAUGUUAAGAAUAACUUCUAUUUUAUAUACGCACUAUGUGUAGAACAAUAGAAGAUUAUGAUUCCGAUCAUUCUUAUUUAACAAGAUUUUUUAUUUUUUGUAUAGUCUUAGUCCAAAUUUGUUGUCUAACAAAAAGGGUACAACGGAUCGGUAUUCAAACUAUUCUUAUUUUCUUAGCUUCAGUAAUCUAGUGGUACGCAUUUGAUGUUCAACAUACAUGCCUCGUUUGGUACAUAACUAGUGAUGAAGUCAGGAACUAGAUUUAGCCCUUGUUUGAUCUCCAUUUUUUCGGAGAAAAUGAAUUCUUCAACAGUGUUUUGACAUAAUUUCAAUUACACAUUCUUCAAUAAAAUAAUAUUAUACACAAAAUCAAAUUGUUUUCUUAACCACACAUUUCACGUCAAUAUACUAUUCAAAAAUUCAUUUUCCCAAUCAAAAUGAGGCUCAAACAAGGGCUAAUGAGAUCAGGAAUCAACUUCAAAAUUUUUAUUUUCCCAACAAAUCAAGUGGAAUUUCUUAAAAUAAAUCUUGGAUAAAAAGAGAGAGAACUUGUAGAAACUAGAGUGAAGUCAUUAUUCUUGGGAUGGAACACACGCUAGACACUAUUUCUUGCUAGUUAGAGAGAAAACGCGUGUGAACAAAUUAGAAAGCAAAGAAAGCGGUGAGAGACGAGAAGCGGAGUUAUUUUAUUCCUGAUAAAGUAUAUUAAGUGAAAGUCACAUUUCAUCAUUAUUUUAUAUGCUCGAACUCAAAUUUUGAUAUUAUUGAGGAGUAGAAACAUCAAAUAAUAUGAGAAUUACUGGUGCCCCCGGGGCAUAUCCCAGUGGUGCAAAAAAAAAGGGUAGGGUAUACUCAGCCUUGCUGGCAGCCACAAUGUGAAGGUUGGAUUCUUGAAAUAUGGAUUAGGACUCGUUGUGGGCACCAGUGUACAAGCAGUUGUUGUUCCCUGACCUGUUGGGGUACAUCCCAAGAUUAAUCUCUCUCACGAUGCUCCAGGGGCUGGGUAGUGAGGGACCCUUAAGGUUGGGGUUCAACAUUUUUUAAGAAUUACUGGUUGGCAAAGUUUGUUCGUAAUAUUUUAUUCUUGGAUCUGUGCUAGUUAAAUUAUAUUUAAUUUCUAGGUCUUAAGUCUGUAUACAUUCUUUAAUUAAUGACACACAAACUAAUUCCAAAAUGAAAAUUGGGUUCGAUUUCUCUAUAUCUUGGAAGUAGGUAGGAAGGUUAAAAAAAAGUGAAGAAAUAAAUGAAUACAUUUUCAUAUUCAUUCUCGAACAAAAGUUGCAAAGUGAUAUGAAGGGAUCGGUAAAAAAGGACUUAGUUUAUGUGAAUGAUAUCUUUCAAAGCGCGAACCACAUUUUUAUUCGUCAGUGUUUUUAUCUUUUUGUUCCAUAAAUUUUAUACAUUUUCAUCAAUAAAAGUAUUUGAUGAGUGUAACAAUUCUAUGUGUAACACAUGGGAAGUGAAGUGCAACCAUAGUGCAAUAUUAGCACAAACGUUAGCAUGCCUAUCCAAAAGGAGUUAUUAUCAAAUGCCUAAUUAUAAGGUAAUAAACAUUAGUACUUCUGUCUAUGUUGAAAGUGACAAGUGAAAUGAGAAUUAGAUGGGACUACAACAUUUUAAAUAAAAAUAAAUGUCAAAAAUAAUGUCUAUUUUAUAACAAAUAUGCAUUAUAUGUAGAAGUUUAUGAUUCCGGUCUUUCUUAUUUAACUAAGAUUUUGUACUUUUUUGUAUAGAGUCUGAGUCCAUAUCUAUUGUCUAGCAACAAUGGGACAAUGAAUCUGGACUCAAUCUAUUCUUAUUUUCUUAGCUUUGGUAAUCUAGCAGUACGCAUUUCAUAUUCAAUACGCAUGCUUCGUUCGGUAUAUAACUAGUGAUGAAGGAACUAGAUCUAACGUGAUCAGGAAUUAACUUCAGAAUUUUUAUUUUUCAAACAAAUCAAGUGAAAUUUCUUAAAAUCAAUCUUGGGUGAAGAGAGAGAAAGAGAACUUACAAAACGAGAGUGAAGUCAUCGUACUUGGGAUGGGACACACAUUAUCGGACACCAUUUCUUGCUUCAAGUAGCAAGAGAGAAAAAGUGUGACGGAGAAAUAAUUAGAGAGCGAAGAAAGCAGUGAGAGAGGAGAAGGGAAGUUACUUUUUUUUUCUUAUAAGAUAUAUUUAGUGAAAGUCGCAUUUCGUUAUUAAUUUAUAUGCUCGAACUCACAUUUCAUUGAUAUUAUUGAGGUAUGGCAGCUUGAUAUAAUAUGAAGAUUUCCGGUUGGGAAAGUUCGAUGAAGGAACUAGAUCUAACGCGAUCAGGAAUUAACUUCAGAAUUUUUAUUUUUCAAACAAAUCAAGUGAAAUUUCUUAAAUCAAUCUUGGGUGAAGAGAGAGAAAGAGAACUUACAAAACGAGAGUGAAGUCAUCGUACUUGGGAUGGGACACACGUUAUCGGACACCAAUUCUUGCUUCAAGUAGCAAGAGAGAGAAAGUGUGACGGAGAAAUAAUUAGAGAACAAAGAAAGUGGUGAGAGAGGAGAAGGGAAGUUACUUUUUUUC
rnacentral:lncRNA from 1 species